rnacentral:rRNA from 1 species
AGAGUUUGAUCCUGGCUCAGGAUGAACGCUAGCGACAGGCUUAACACAUGCAAGUCGAGGGGCAGCGAGGGAGUGGCAACACUUCUGUCGGCGACCGGCGCACGGGUGAGUAACGCGUAUGCAACCUGCCCUUCACAGGGGGAUAACCGGGAGAAAUUCCGACUAAUACCGCAUACGUCCUCCGGGGGCAUCCCCGGGGGAUGAAAGAAUUAUCGGUGAAGGAUGGGCAUGCGUGAUAUUAGGUAGUUGGCGGGGCAAACGGGCCCACCAAGCCCACGAUAUCUAGGGGUUCUGAGAGGAAGGUCCCCCCGACAUUGGUACUGAGACACGGACCAAACUCCUACGGGAGGCA